rnacentral:rRNA from 1 species
ACUCAAAUGAAUUGACGGGGACCCGCACAACCGGUGGAGCGUGUGGUUCAAUUCGAUACAAAACGAAAAACCUCACCAGGGUUUGACAUGUAGCCGUUUAUGCUUUUGGAAACAUUAGCAAAUCCGCAAGGAUGGUUACACAGGUGCUGCAUGGCUGUCGUCAGCUCGUGCCGUGAGGUGUUCCCUUAAGUGGGGAAACGAGCGCAACCCCUGUCGAAUGUUAAAUAUUCAUUCGAGACGGUCCCAGUUUUACUGGGAAGGAAGGAAGGGAAGACGUCAAGUCAGCAUGGUCCUUACACCCUGGGCUACACACACACUACAAUGGCGAACAACAGAGGGCAGCAAGCUAGCAAUAGCAAGCAAAUCCCUUAAAUUUCGCCUCAGUUCAGAUUGGGGUCUGAAACCCGACCCCAUGAAGUCGGAAUCGGUAGUAAUCGCAGAUCAGCAAGCUGCGGUGAAUACGUUCUCGGGUCUUGUACACACCGCCCGU